AUGAGGUUUGACACUUUGGAAGGCGUCAGAGAACACUACAAUGCGUAUGCUUUACAGCUUGGGUUUUCAAUCAACAUGAACACAUCAAGGAGGACUGUUGAUACUGGUGUGUUGAUAAAGCAGAAGUUUGUUUGCAACAAGUUUCGGAAACCUAAAAUUGAUGAUGGAGGAGUAGAAAGUAUUCCUACCUUGGAUGAGAUUGUUGAACAAAAACAUGAUAUUGAUGAAGAUGAAGAAAUUUUCUUUCUUGGUGAUGAGAGUAAAAAAAAGAAAUGCAAGAAGCGGAAGGAAGCGAGAUACAAUAGUGCAGACAGGAUGCAAAGCAAAGAUUGUGGUCAAACUAUUAGAUAG
rnacentral:rRNA from 1 species